AUACGCGAGGAACCUUACCUGGCCUUGACAUCCUGCGAACUUUCUAGAGAUAGAUUGGUGCCUUCGGGAACGCAGUGACAGGUGUUGCAUGGCUGUCG
rnacentral:rRNA from 1 species